rnacentral:rRNA from 1 species
UAAUCAGAGAGUUUGAUCCUGGCUCAGGACGAACGCUGGCGGCGUGCCUAACACAUGCAAGUCGAGCGGAGCUGAAUGGUAGCUUGCUACAGUUCAGCUUAGCGGCGGACGGGUGAGUAACACGUGGGUAAUCUGCCUUAUACAGGGGGAUAACACAGGGAAACCUGUGCUAAUACCGCAUAAGAUCACGACAUGGCA